rnacentral:rRNA from 1 species
GAGUUUGAUCGCGGCUCAGGAUGAACGCUAGCGGCAGGCUUAACACAUGCAAGUCGAGGGGCAGCGGGGUGUAGCAAUACAUCGCCGGCGACCGGCGCACGGGUGCGUAACACGUAUGGAAUCUGCCCUUUACUGGAGGAUAGCCCGGAGAAAUCCGGACUAAUACUCCAUAACACCCUGGGUGGCAUCACCUGGGUUUGAAAGCUCCGGCGGUAAAGGAUGACCAUGCGCACGAUUAGCUAGUUGGUGAGGUAAUGGCUCACCAAGGCUACGAUCGUUAGGGGGCCUGAGAGGGUUAUCCCCCACACUGGUACUGAGACACGGACCAGACUCCUACGGGAGGCAGCAGUGGGGAAUAUUGCACAAUGGGCGGAAGCCUGAUGCAGCGACGCCGCGUGAGGGAUGACGGCUUUCGGUUGUAACCUCUUUCAGCAGGGACGAAGCGUGAGUGACGGUACCUGCAGAAGAAGCGCCGGCCAACUACGUGCCA